GCUUAGCCCUAAACACAGAUAAUUACAUAAACAAAUUAUUUGCCAGAGUACUACCAGCAACAGCUUAAAACUCAAANGU
rnacentral:rRNA from 1 species